UUACGGCCACAUUACGUUGAAACACAAGUUCCCAUACGAUCACCGAACUUAAGCAACGACGAGCCCGAUCAGUACCUUGAUGGGUGACCGCUUGAGAAUACCAGGUAA